rnacentral:tRNA from 1 species
GGUUAUAGCUCAGUGGUGGAGCUCCUGCCUGCUAUGUAUGAGGCUGUGGGUUCAAGCCCCAUCACCA